rnacentral:rRNA from 1 species
UAUCUGAAAUCAAGCAGGAUCACCCGNUGAACUUAAGCAUAUCACUAAGCGGAGGAGAAGAAAUUAACUAAGAUUGCCCUAGUAACGGCGAG